rnacentral:rRNA from 1 species
GGGUGGACAGGUGGUGGCAUGGUUGUCGUCAGCUCGUGUCGUGAGAUGUUCGGGUUAAGUCCCGCAACGAGCGCAACCCUCGACCUUAGUUGCCAGCAUUCAGUUGGGCACUCCAAGGUGACUGCCGGCUAAAAGUCGGAGGAAGGUGGGGAUGACGUCAAAUCAUCAUGCCCCUUAUGACCUGGGCUACACACGUGCUACAAUGGGCGGUACAAAGGGUCGCGAACCCGCGAGGGGGAGCCAAUCCCAAAAAGCCGCUCUCAGUUCGGAUUGCAGGCUGCAACUCGCCUGCAUGAAGCCGGAAUCGCUAGUAAUCGCGGAUCAGCAUGCCGCGGUGAAUAUGUUCCCGGGCCUU